CAUACAUAACAUUUAAAACUUUACGCGCAGAUGUCGCUGGACUUGUCCCUCGGGCCAUGGAAGGCGGACAGCUGCACCUCACAAUGCGAGUCGUGCGGUGCCCCCUUUAAUCUCUUUCGCCGCCGCCACCACUGCCGCUGCUGCGGCGGCAUCUUCUGCUCCUCCUGUACGAGGCAAGUCUGUACCAUCCCCACAUAUCCGUCGCUGAUUCCGCAGCGAGUAUGUCGAGAAUGCCAUGUCAUGCUUUUUACUCGUGAAUCUGGUCGAUGCCAGCAGCGAGAUCGUGCCCUGCUGCACCCGCGGCACAGACAACAAAAUUUUUCAACCGCCAGGCCGGGUGCCCCAUAUGUUGGGGCGCGAGGGCAGAAGGAUGAAGAUGCCGGCCCCACAGAGCUAUCGACAGACGACAACAACAAGCCGACCUCUACACUCGAGCCGCCUGCCAUCUCCGACAGCGACAACCGCGGCGUUCCCAAUGACCCUGCCACCAGUGCUGACAAGAAGGACUAGGAUGCCCUCUCUACAGCAGUGGCUGGCGCGCUGUCGUCAUGAGUAGUCCCACACCAAUGUUCCGGUCUUGUCGAUGGCGAAGGACAGCAUUCUGCAGAGGAGUUACCUGUCGCGGUGACAGGUGCUGCUGCUCCCAUCCCGGAGGUGCUACACCGUUAGCGUGUUGGCCCUCUUUCAUGGGGAGACGAUGUGCCAUUUGGUAGGCCGCCUAGCGGAGUUGCGGGUUGAAGUGGCCGACUUUGCGGUCAAAAAGAAGAUUCAUUCUCUCUAAGGGACCUCCGAAAUUCGGUACAUGGCUAUGUGAAGAUGAAGCUCGUUUCGGCAGGUCUGCUCGCCGCGCAGAUGGUGAAUCCUUGCAGGUAUAUGGCGCUCCACUUAUUCUCUUGGAAGCCAUUUCGGAACGCACGGCAGCACCGCCUCCUGCGUCUUCUUGUCUCACCGCUUCUUAAGCUACAAGACCGUUUCUGCAUUACAUUAGGCGGGCCGAAGCUAUCAAGGGCGCUGGUGCCGCGCACUCGGGCUGCAUUUCGCGCAGCCGCAUUGAAGCCACUUCUCUCUUUCGGUGCUGGACCACGGGAAUGGAAAAGAGGCAGUCGCGUUUUAGAUUGGUCGCAAGGGCGGUGAGUAACAUGCCACUUCCACUCCACCUGGCCCGCUCUCCUCGUCCUUUCUACCGCUUUUCUUGUGCUUUUCCGUUUCACUACUAG
rnacentral:misc_RNA from 1 species